AUUGAACGCUGGCGGCAUGCUUUACACAUGCAAGUCGAACGGCAGCGGGGUAGUGCUUGCACUACUGCCGGCGAGUGGCGAACGGGUGAGUAAUAUAUCGGAACGUACCGAGUAAUGGGGGAUAACCAAUCGAAAGAUUGGCUAAUACCGCAUACGUCCUGAGGGAGAAAGCGGGGGAUCGCAAGACCUCGCGUUAUUCGAGCGGCCGAUAACUGAUUAGCUAGUUGGUGGGGUAAAGGCCCACCAAGGCGACGAUCAGUAGCGGGUCUGAGAGGACGAUCCGCCACACUGGGACUGAGACACGGCCCAGACUCCUACGGGAGGCAGCAGUGGGGAAUUUUGGACAAAGGGGGCAACCCUGAUCCAGCCAUGCCGCGUGUAUGAAGAAGGCCUUCGGGUUGUAAAGUACUUUUGUUAGGGAAGAAAAGGGAAGUGCUAAUACCACUUUUUGCUGACGGUACCUAAAGAAUAAGCACCGGCUAACUACGUG
rnacentral:rRNA from 1 species